rnacentral:rRNA from 1 species
UGGGGAAUAUUGCACAAUGGGGGGAACCCUGAUGCAGCCAUGCCGCGUGAAUGAAGAAGGCCUUCGGGUUGUAAAGUUCUUUCGGUGACGAGGAAGGUUGAUAGGUUAAUAGCCUAUCAAAUUGACGUUAAUCACAGAAGAAGCACCGGCUAACUCCGUGCCAGCAGCCGCGGUAAUACGGGGGGUGCGAGCGUUAAUCGGAAUAACUGGGCGUAAAGGGCACGCAGGCGGUGACUUAAGUGAGAUGUGAAAGCCCCGGGCUUAACCUGGGAAUUGCAUUUCAUACUGGGUCGCUAGAGUACUUUAGGGAGGGGUAGAAUUCCACGUGUAGCGGUGAAAUGCGUAGAGAUGUGGAGGAAUACCGAAGGCGAAGGCAGCCCCUUGGGAAUGUACUGACGCUCAUGUGCGAAAGCGUGGGGAGCAAACA